rnacentral:rRNA from 1 species
UACAGAGGUCCCGAGCGUUGUUCGGAUUUAUUGGGCGUAAAGGGUGCGUAGGCGGCGGAGUAAGUUGGGUGUGAAAUCCCGGGGCUUAACCUCGGAAUUGCAUUCAAUACUGCUUCGCUCGAGUACUGGAGAGGAGGCUGGAAUUUACGGUGUAGCAGUGAAAUGCGUAGAUAUCGUAAGGAAGGCCGGUGGCGAAAGCGAGCCUCUGGACAGUAACUGACGCUGAGGAGCGAAAGCGUGGGGAGCGAACAGG